GACGAACGCUGGCGGCGUGCUUAACACAUGCAAGUCGAACGGAAAGGCCCGGCUUUUGUGGGGUGCUCGAGUGGGAAACGGGUGAGUAACACGUGAGUAACCUGCCCUUGACUUUGGGAUAACUUCAGGAAACUGGGGCUAAUACCGGAAAGGAGCUCCUGCUGCAUGGUGGGGGUUGGAAAGUUUCGGCGGUUGGGGAUGGACUCGCGGCUUAUCAGCUUGUUGGUGGGGUAGUGGCUUACCAAGGCUUUGACGGGUAGCCGGCCUGAGAGGGUGACCGGCCACAUUGGGACUGAGAUACGGCCCAGACUCCUACGGGAGGCAGCAGUGGGGAAUAUUGCACAAUGGGCGGAAGCCUGAUGCAGCAACGCCGCGUGCGGGAUGACGGCCUUCGUGUUGUAAACCGCUUUCGCCUGUGACGAAGCGUGAGUGACGGUAAUGGGUAAAGAAGCACCGGCUAACUACGUG
rnacentral:rRNA from 1 species